AGUGAGAUAGCUGGGUCAAAUGGUGGUUCCAUUCCAACUUUUCUCAGGAAUCUCCAUACUCCUUUCCAUACUGAUUGCACCAAUUUGCAUUCCCACCAGCAAU
rnacentral:pre_miRNA from 1 species